AAGCCAGCUAAUGAACCCGCUUACCUGAAUGUGUUUCAGCAGAAAUUUAGACAAGACUGGCAAUAGUAAAGCCUUGUUACAAGCCUUAAAAACAUUGAAGUCAUUAAGGUCCCUGCAAAUGACUAUAAGG